GCCCUUAUCGUCUAGUGGUUUAGGACAUCUUUUUUUCAGGAAGAAAACGAGGAUUCGAAUUCCUUUAAGGGUA
rnacentral:tRNA from 1 species